rnacentral:rRNA from 1 species
UACGUAGGCAGCGAGCGUUGUUCGGAAUUACUGGGCGUAAAGAGUGUGUAGGCGGUGUUCCCAGUCUGUUGUGAAAUCUCCCGGCUUAACUGGGAGGGUGCAGCGGAAACUAGAAUGCUAGAGGGUGGGAGAGGUAAGCGGAAUUCCUGGUGUAGCGGUGAAAUGCGUAGAUAUCAGGAAGAACACCAAUGGCGAAGGCAGCUCUCUGGGACGGUACUGACGCUGAGACGCGAAAGCGUGGGGAGCGAACAGG